rnacentral:rRNA from 1 species
GGCCUGAACUUCGCAGGCCCAGCUCUUUUUUGACUCGGUGGAUGGGGGUGCAUGGGCUGGUGUAGCGAUUUGUCUGCCUAAUUCCGAUCGCGAACGAGACUCUAGUUUAUUAGAUCGGUGUGUGCUUCUCUGCACCUUGCAGCCUUCUUGAACAAGCGGCUCUUAGCCGCACGAAACAGAGCAAUAACAGGUGUGUGAUGCCCUUGCAUGUCC